CAAGUCGAGGGGCAUCGCAGUGUAGCAAUACAUGGGCGGCGACCGGCAAACGGGUGCGUAACACGUACGCAACCUUCCCGUUACUGUGGGAUAGCCCAGGGAAACUUGGAUUAAUACCACAUAUUGCCAUGGAGAGGCAUCUCUUUAUGGCCAAAGAAUUUCGGUAACGGAUGGGCGUGCGGUUGAUUAGAUAGUUGGCGGGGUAACGGCCCACCAAGUCUACGAUCAAUAGCUGAUGUGAGAGCAUGAUCAGCCACACGGGCACUGAGACACGGGCCCGACUCCUACGGGAGGCAGCAGUAAGGAAUAUUGGGCAAUGGACGCAAGUCUGACCCAGCCAUGCCGCGUGAAGGAUGAAGGUCCUCUGGAUUGUAAACUUCUUUUUUCUGGGGCGAAAACCAGCCUUUCUAGGUUGUUUGACAGUACCAGAAGAAUAAGCACCGGCUAACUCCGUGCCAGCAGCCGCGGUAAUACGGAGGGUGCAAGCGUUAUCCGGAUUCACUGGGUUUAAAGGGUGCGUAGGUGGGUUGGUAAGUCAGUGGUGAAAUCCCCGAGCUUAACUUGGGAACUGCCAUUGAUACUAUCAAUCUUGAAUAUUGUGGAGGUAAGCGGAAUAUGUCAUGUAGCGGUGAAAUGCUUAGAUAUGACAUAGAACACCAAUUGCGCAGGCAGCUUGCUACACAAUGAUUGACACUGAGGCACGAAAGCGUGGGGAUCAAACAGGAUUAGAUACCCUGGUAGUCCACGCCCUAAACGAUGGAUACUCGACAUCAGCGAUACACAGUUGGUGUCUGAGCGAAAGCAUUAAGUAUCCCACCUGGGAAGUACGACCGCAAGGUUGAAACUCAAAGGAAUUGGCGG
rnacentral:rRNA from 1 species